GUGCUGCCGAAGUGAGCACAUAUACUAAACUUGGAACAAUAAAGAACAGAACAGCAUGGUCCCUGUGCAAAGAUGACAGGCAGGUUUGUGAAACAUUCCAUUUUUUU